rfam:Apaloderma vittatum contig76129, whole genome shotgun sequence.
GGCCAGUUAGCUCAGUCAGUAGAGCGUAGCGCUAACACCGCUAAGGUCGUGGGUUCAAUUCCCGUUCGGUCCC